rnacentral:rRNA from 1 species
UACGAAGGGGGCUAGCGUUGUUCGGAAUCACUGGGCGUAAAGCGCACGUAGGCGGUUCUUUAAGUCAGGGGUGAAAUCCCGAGGCUCAACCUCGGAACUGCCUUUGAUACUGGGGAUCUCGAGUCCGGGAGAGGUGAGUGGAACUGCGAGUGUAGAGGUGAAAUUCGUAGAUAUUCGCAAGAACACCAGUGGCGAAGGCGGCUCACUGGCCCGGAACUGACGCUGAGGUGCGAAAGCGUGGGUAGCGAACAGG